GUACAAAGAAAAUAUUUCAUUUGUUGGGCAGUAUUAGUACAUACCAUACAUGCUUACGAAUGUAUAACAAAUAAUACAUUUGUUUUAAUGUCUUUGUGUUUCCUCUCCCAUACAUUUAAAAAUCAACUUUUCCAGUGUCAAAACGACACUCUAAGGAUUAACGUAACAUGCUUUUAAAAAUAGGUCACAUGUUAGAUUCCAUUUAAAUUCAAUGCAUUUUAACAUUUUAAUUAAAGUCAAUACCAAAAAAUAUUAUUGUCUUACCUUAUAUACAAUCAGUCCAGUUAAAGGGACACUGUAACUGCUUCAUCUCAUUGCAGUACUCUGGUGCGGCCCAUCAAUUCAGCAUUAAACAGUUUUUAAUGUUCUAAUGACAGCUACAUCAUUAAACUGCCACAAAAAAACGGUCAGGUAAGUGGUGGGGAUAUAAGACUGCUGUUGCCUUUCAGGGUUAGUGUGAGGGGGAGGUCAUGACUUUACUUAAGGCUCUUAAAGGAUCACUAUAGUGUCAGGAAAACAAAUUGGUUUUCCUGACACUACAGUGCCCUGAGGGUGCCCCCACCCUCAGGGUCCCCCUCCCG